GCCUAAAAAGUUUCGGCUACUUUUCACGAAGUCAACUUAUUUAAUUAUCACCAUAAAAGCUCCUGCAAGAUGGGAGCAGUUACAUUCCAUUUAUAGGAAAGGAAACCAAGGCUCAGAGAAGAAAUUUGCUCUGUUCACGGCUCCUCCUCAGCCAUCCUGGCCGUGCUCAGUCAUCUGACCAGCCUACCUCCAUGUUCCCUCAUUCCCUGGGAACUCCUCCCGCCUCUCGGCUUCCAAUGCUGUUGCUGCAUGUUGAAGACACCCGCACUGAUAACUCCAGUCUGACCGUGGGACGCAAAUGUUAUUGAACUCCAGACUUGUAUAUCGGACUGAUUACUAAAGAGCGGCAUUUGCGUGUGUAAUGGACAUCCCAAACCUAACACACCCCAAAAGGAAUUCCUGAUACCUACCUGAUCUGUUCUUUCAACAGUGUUCAUCCCAGAAGUGGAGGAAGAUCCCGGCAUCUUUCCAGUUGCUCAGGCCAAAACCCUUGAUUGUUGUCUCUAAUUUUUUUCAUCCAAAAUUCACCUGUGAUUUAUCUGCAAAUUCUGUUGGCUUCAUCUUAAAAUAUAUUAUUGAGCCACUUUCAACACUUCCACUGCUAUAACCAGCAAGCCACCUACAUCACCCUUCUGGAUGAUUAUAUUGUCUUCCCUGACUGCAGAGUAAUCCUCUUAAAGUAAGAUCAUGUCAUUCAAUUUGUUCAAAACAUUCAAAGGCUUCCCAACUUAUUAGAGCAAAGUCAAGGCUUGGCAGUGGCACGUGGCUCCUGUCAUGAUUUGUGUCUCUUUAGUUCUUUAUUGUGUCUGCAAUGCUAAAAACAGUGCUCAGCAGGGAACAGGCACUCAGUAAAUAUUUGUUGAAUGAAUGAAUUUAUAAGAUGCCUUAUUGUUUACAAAGUGCUUUUACAUCUGUCUUCUGCUUAUUCAUCUUUACCAUAGUCUCACGAAGCACAGAUUGUCGUAUCUGUCUUGCAAAUCAGUAAACUGAAGCAGGAGAGGCCAACUUGCCUGAUGUAAUACAGAGGGUUGUUGGUGGAGGCUAGACUAAGUCACAGUUUCAUUCUCUUAAGCUGGGGCUUUCUGCUCUGCAGGGAACUGUCUCUGCAUAUGGUAAAGCACAAAGCUGAAUUCGAUCUGGACAAAGAAUCUGCACUCACAAUCUAAGAGUAUCUGGACUAUUGCAGUGAUUAAAUGAGGUGAGGUAAGGCGCUUAGCACAAUGUAUAACACAGAAUAAGUGAGAGUCAUUGCUGUUACAUUUAUUAUUAAGUUAUUAUUGUAAAUUGGUUGAUGCUGGUGGUUGGACGGUUUGGGGUAAAGGGCAAUGGCCAGAGAUCUAGAAAUGGUUUAGGAAAAGUGUCAGGAGCAAACACGACCUGUUGGAACUGUCUGCUCUGCGUACACUAAAAUAAAAAGAUAAUUAAAAAAAAAAAAAAUUCAUGUCCACAUAAAGGUGGAUUAUCCCUUUUUCCUAUACCUGAAAACAACUGGGCCAGCCAUAGAAGGCCCAGAGGUAUGUUGACUAAAGCACUGGGUAAAGAAGGAUGCAUUUUUUUUAAAAAAGAGAGAUGAAAGUCAGGAAAUAAGGGGGUAUGGGUGCCUAAGUGUGGACAGAGUUCUAGGCAGUAAGGGUGGAGAGGAGGGAGAGCCAGAAAAAGAUAUGAGGAAGAGGAGGGUAAAGCAGAACGGGAAGAAGACAAGGAGAGAAAGCAGGUAGGGUUUUAUGCCUUCGGCUUAGCUAUUAGUAUAAUAAUAAACACUUAUCGAGUGCUUAUUAUGUGCCAGGCACUGUUUGCAGCGUUUGAGAAUCUCAUGUGAGAUUCCCGCAGCAUGAUUGUUGCUGAGAGUUUGCUCCACCUUCUCUGAUAGGUCCCUGCACUUUGUGGUGUGACUCCCGGUGCCUCCUGGUGAACCACAUGCCCGUCCCACUGAUGUUGACUUGACCACUGACUUGCACUGGCUGACUUCAUGUGACUGGAGGCAAGGGGUACACCACAUCCUGGAAGAAGCUUUGAGUCACUGCCUUUCUGCCAGGACUCUGCUCUUCCCCUCUGCCUUGAGAAUAGCAUGUCCCAAGUAGGGGCUGCCCCCUUAGUCUAGGACCCAGGAUGAGAAGACACAUGGAGUAGAGCCACAGAAGCUCACUGUAGCCACAACGGUCCCAUGAAACAUGAGAGAAACAAAUGCUAUUGUAACACGGAGAUUCUUGGUGUUAUUUGUUAUUGCAUUAAAGUUGACUAACGUACCUCCCACCACCCUUAAGAGAUAGGAAUUGCUAUUAUUCUGUGAUAUUAUGAAAUAUAUAGUUGGUGGGUUUCCUGACAUACAACUUCUAAAAUCCUUAGAAUCUCCAAAGUGAUGUCUUUUUAUAUCUGAAUGAGUUGACUGGUGGCUGGCAGCCCCUGGGUAGCUUCAGGAUGGGGCUGGUCACUGGAAAGACCAAGGCAGGAUUAGAAGAAUGGCAAUUUCAGCUUCACCCCAUCAACAUUGGGUGGAGGAGGGUGACUGAGGGUGAAGUUGAUCACAAAUGGCUGAUGGAUUUAAUCAAUCAUGCCUAUGUUAUAAAGUCUCCAUAAAAGCCCCAAAAGGACUGGAUUCGAUUGAGAGCUUCUGGAUACCAGAACACAUGGAGGUUCCUGGAGAAUGGGGUGUGCAGUUGGGGGUGCAUCAGGGAAGAGGCACGGAAGCUCCACAUUCUUUCCUUCAUAUUUCACCCUGUGCAUUUCUUUUUCUGUAUCCUUUGGAAUAUGCUUUGUAAUAAACCAGUAAAUGUGUUUCCCUGA